rnacentral:rRNA from 1 species
UACGUAGGGGGCAAGCGUUGUCCGGAAUCAUUGGGCGUAAAGAGCGUGUAGGAGGCCCGGUAAGUCCGCUGUGAAAGUCCAGGGCUCAACCCUGGGAUGCCGGUGGAUACUGUCGGGCUCGAGUCCGGAAGAGGAGUGUGGAAUUCCUGGUGUAGCGGUGAAAUGCGCAGAUAUCAGGAGGAACACCAAUGGCGAAGGCAGCACUCUGGGACGUGACUGACGCUGAGACGCGAAAGCGUGGGGAGCAAACAGG